AUUGAACGCUGGCGGCAGGCCUAACACAUGCAAGUCGAGCGGAUGAAGGGAGCUUGCUCCUGGAUUCAGCGGCGGACGGGUGAGUAAUGCCUAGGAAUCUGCCUGGUAGUGGGGGAUAACGUCCGGAAACGGGCGCUAAUACCGCAUACGUCCUGAGGGAGAAAGUGGGGGAUCUUCGGACCUCACGCUAUCAGAUGAGCCUAGGUCGGAUUAGCUAGUUGGUGGGGUAAAGGCCUACCAAGGCGACGAUCCGUAACUGGUCUGAGAGGAUGAUCAGUCACACUGGAACUGAGACACGGUCCAGACUCCUGCGGGAGGCAGCAGUGGGGAAUAUUGGACAAUGGGCGAAAGCCUGAUCCAGCCAUGCCGCGUGUGUGAAGAAGGUCUUCGGAUUGUAAAGCACUUUAAGUUGGGAGGAAGGGCAGUAAGUUAAUACCUUGCUGCUUUGACGUUACCAACAGAAUAAGCACCGGCUAACUUCGUG
rnacentral:rRNA from 1 species